UGAGACAGGAUUUCUUGUGGUUCUGACUGAUGUCUGUCUGGCUCACUGUAGCCAGGGAUCUGGACUCCUGAUCCUCCUGCCUCCACCUCCCCAGUGCUGGGAAUACAGUUUCAGAGAAUUGGAGGCCAAGAUCACAGUGGGGAUCUUCGCAGCAGGCACCAGGCUGAAGCAGUAGCUGAGAGCUCACGUCCUUACCUUCAAGAAUGGCCUGGACUUUUGAAAACUUAAAUCCCAUCCCCGGUGACACACCUCUGCCCACCAGGCCUUGCUUCCUAAACCUUCCCUGUUCCUCCAAUGGGGAAAAAAGCAUUCAAAUAUAGGUGCCUAAGGGGCCAUCCUCAUUCAAACUACUACCAUUUCCAAAUCAGUUUAAAGCUUUGAAUGGAAAAUUCACCAAAUGUGUCCCUCCUGGAGGGGCAGGGAGCAGUGCUAAGAAUGGAACCUAGAACUUUAUACCCACGCCAGGGGAGUGUCCAGCACUGAGCUGCAGCCUAGUCCCCCGGAUUUGAAGUUUUCUUAACCCACGACCUCCUUCCCUUCACACGGGGAAACUGUUCUGGGCAGCCAGCUUUGAUUUUCUUCCUUGGCACAGAUCUGCGACAUUUGGUAUGGCUACAGUGAGCAUGUGGUGAUCUGUUGUUACCUUUCUGGUGUUAAUAAAUAGACCAUUUUCCCACCUUUCA